GAGUAACGCGUGAGGAACCUGCCUCAAAGAGGGGGACAACAGUUGGAAACGACUGCUAAUACCGCAUAAGCCCACGGGUCGGCAUCGACCAGAGGGAAAAGGAGCAAUCCGCUUUGAGAUGGCCUCGCGUCCGAUUAGCUAGUUGGUGAGGUAACGGCCCACCAAGGCAACGAUCGGUAGCCGGACUGAGAGGUUGAACGGCCACAUUGGGACUGAGACACGGCCCAGACUCCUACGGGAGGCAGCAGUGGGGAAUAUUGCACAAUGGGGGAAACCCUGAUGCAGCGACGCCGCGUGGAGGAAGAAGGUCUUCGGAUUGUAAACUCCUGUUGUUGAGGAAGAUAAUGACGGUACUCAACAAGGAAGUGACGGCUAACUACGUGCCAGCAGCCGCGGUAAAACGUAGGUCACAAGCGUUGUCCGGAAUUACUGGGUGUAAAGGGAGCGCAGGCGGGAAGACAAGUUGGAAGUGAAAUCUAUGGGCUCAACCCAUAAACUGCUUUCAAAACUGCUUUUCUUGAGUAGUGCAGAGGUAGGCGGAAUUCCCGGUGUAGCGGUGGAAUGCGUAGAUAUCGGGAGGAACACCAGUGGCGAAGGCGGCCUACUGGGCACCAACUGACGCUGAGGCUCGAAAGUGUGGGUAGCAAACAGGAUUAGAUACCCUGGUAGUCCACACCGUAAACGAUGAUAACGAGGUGUUGGAGGAUUGACCCCUUCAGUGCCGCAG
rnacentral:rRNA from 1 species